AUCCCACAGCAGACCUGUUCUUGCAUUGGGAAGAGCCUUCAAAUCAACUAUUAAGAUGUUCAGAGACCUGAAAAACAAAGCUUUCCUAUGCCUCUAGAAGAGGGUACAAAGGAUGCCUAGCGUUGCCAGAAAGAUCCUGCACAGUGUGGAUGUGGGUCUGCCAAGGUGGGGCAGAGGAGACAUAAGACACAAAUCUGGCCUGAAGAAGCACAGUGAAAAACACCACCAGGUACUGCGAUGUAAUUGGACAACACAAAGUCUGGGAGUUAGCACAUCUUUCACAGUGGCAACAGCUCAGAUGUACCAUGUGAGAUAACAUUUUGCUGCUUGGAUCUGGGCAAGUCACUAUCUGUGCCUUGCCUCAGUUACCAGCCUCUAGUCAACACCUGACACAUCAUAAGUGUACUGAGAGUUUGCAGUAGACCAUGUCCUGGGAUGCUGCAGUGAUG